rnacentral:rRNA from 1 species
UACGUAGGGGGCAAGCGUUGUCCGGAAUCAUUGGGCGUAAAGCGCGUGUAGGUGGCUCGGUAAGUCCGCUGUAAAAGUCCAGGGCUCAACCCUGGAAAGCCGGUGGAAACUGUCGAGCUAGAGUCCGGAAGAGGCGAGUGGAAUUCCUGGUGUAGCGGUGAAAUGCGCAGAUAUCAGGAGGAACACCAAUGGCGAAGGCAGCUCGCUGGGACGGUACUGACACUGAGACGCGAAAGCGUGGGGAGCAAACAGG